GCUCCUGUAGCUCAGUGGCUGAGCAUUUGUUUUGAAUGCAAAGGUCCAAGGUCCAAUUCCUGCCAUCGUUGGUAGCG